rnacentral:rRNA from 1 species
GAUGAACGCUGGCGGCGUGCCUAAUACAUGCAAGUAGAACGCUGAAGCUUGGUGCUUGCACCGAGCGGAUGAGUUGCGAACGGGUGAGUAACGCGUAGGUAACCUGCCUCUUAGCGGGGGAUAACUAUUGGAAACGAUAGCUAAUACCGCAUAAAAGACGAUAUCGCAUGAUAUUGAUUUGAAAGGUGCAAUUGCAUCACUAAGAGAUGGACCUGCGUUGUAUUAGCUAGUUGGUGAGGUAACGGCUCACCAAGGCGACGAUACAUAGCCGACCUGAGAGGGUGAUCGGCCACACUGGGACUGAGACACGGCCCAGACUCCUACGGGAGGCAGCAGUAGGGAAUCUUCGGCAAUGGGGGCAACCCUGACCGAACAACGCCGCGUGAGUGAAGAAGGUUUUCGGAUCGUAAAGCUCUGUUGUAAGAGAAGAACGAGUGUGAGAGUGGAAAGUUCACACUGUGACGGUAACUUACCAGAAAGGGACGGCUAACUACGUGCCAGCAGCCGCGGUAAUACGUAGGUCCCGAGCGUUAUCCGGAUUUAUUGGGCGUAAAGCGAGCGCAGGCGGUUAGAUAAGUCUGAAGUUAAAGGCUGUGGCUUAACCAUAGUACGCUUUGGAACCUGUUUAACUUGAGUGCAGAAGGGGAGAGUGGAAUUCCAUGUGUAGCGGUGAAAUGCGUAGAUAUAUGGAGGAACACCGGUGGCGAAAGCGGCUCUCUGGCCUGUAACUGACGCUGAGGCUCGAAAGCGUGGGGGAGCAAACAGG